AAACUGCGAAUGGCUCAUUAAAUCAGUUAUAGUUUAUUUGAUAUAACCUUACUACUUGGAUAUCCGUGGUAAUUCUAGAGCUAAUACAUGCAAUUAAAAUCCUGACUUCUGGAAGGGAUGUAUUUAUUAGAUAAAAAACCAACCCGGCAACGGUUCUUUGGUGAUUCAUAGUAACUUUUCGAAUCGCAUGACUUUACGUCGGCGAUGGUUCAUUCAAAUUUCUGCCCUAUCAAGUUUCGAUGGUAGGAUAGAGGCCUACCAUGCUUUUUACGGGUAACGGCGAAUUAGGGUUCGAUUCCGGAGAGGGAGCCUGAGAAACGGCUACCACAUCUAAGGAAGGCAGCAGGCGCGCAAAUUACCCAAUCCUGAUUCAGGGAGGUAGUGACAAUAAAUAACAAUCCAGGACUUCGGUCUUGGAAUUGGAAUGAGAACAAUUUAAAUCUCUUAUCGAGGAACAAUUGGAGGGCAAGUCUGGUGCCAGCAGCCGCGGUAAUUCCAGCUCCAAUAGCGUAUAUUAAAGUUGUUGCAGUUAAAUAGCUCGUAGUUGAAUCUUGGGGCUGGUUUGGCGGUCGCGUCUUUGACGUGUACUGUCGGCCGGUUCUUUUACUUGUGGGGAACGUAUGUGCCCUUUGCGGGGUGUGUACGGGAACCAUGGCUGUUACUUUGAAAAAAUUAGAGUGUUUAAAGCGGGCGUAAGCUUGUAUACAUUAGCAUGGAAUAAUAGAAUAGGACUUUGGUUUUAUUUUGUUGGUUUCUAGGGCCGAAGUAAUGAUUAAUAGGGAUAGUUGGGGGCAUUAGUAUUUAAUAGUCAGAGGUGAAAUUCUUGGAUUUAUGAAAGACUAACUUCUGCGAAAGCAUUUGCCAAGGAUGUUUUCAUUAAUCAAGAACGAAAGUCAGGGGAUCGAAGAUGAUCAGAUACCGUCGUAGUCCUGACCGUAAACUAUGCCGACUAGGGAUCGGGCGU
rnacentral:rRNA from 1 species